rnacentral:rRNA from 1 species
GCUUACCGUGGCAGUGACGGUUAACGGGGGAUUAGGGUUCGAUUCCGGAGAGGGAGCCUGUAGAAACGGCUACCACAUCUAAGGAAGGCAGCAGGCGCGCAAAUUACCCAAUUCUAACAGCAUAAGAGAGGUAGUGACAAGAAAUAACAAUACAAGGUAAUUAAAUUGCUUUGUAAUUGGAAUGAUAGAAAUUUAAACACUUUUUAAAGUAUCAAUUGGAGGGCAAGUCUGGUGCCAGCAGCCGCGGUAAUUCCAGCUCCAAUAGCGUAUAUUAAAAUUGUUGCAGUUAAAAAGCUCGUAGUUGAAUUUCUGUUAAAAAUAACCGGUCUGCUUUUAUUAAAAGUGGUAUCUUGGUGUGUUUUUAGCAAUAAUGUCCUUUGAAAUGUUUUUUACUUUAUUGUAAUAAGUCAUUAUUUUGAGGAUUUUUACUUUGAGAAAAUUAGAGUGUUUCUAGCAGGCUUACGCUUUUGAAUACUGCAUCAUGGAAUAAUAAGAUAGGAUUUUAGUUCUACAUUAUUGGUUUUAAGAACUAAAUUAAUGAUUGAUAGGGAUAGUUGGGGGCAUU